UACGGAAGGCAGCAGUGGGGAAUAUUGCACAAUGGGCGCAAGCCUGAUGCAGCCAUGCCGCGUGUAUGAAGAAGGCCUUCGGGUUGUAAAGUACUUUCAGUCGUGAGGAAGGUGUUAAGGCUAAUAACCUUAGCAAUUGACGUUAGCGACAGAAGAAGCACCGGCUAACUCCGUGCCAGCAGCCGCGGUAAUACGGAGGGUGCGAGCGUUAAUCGGAAUUACUGGGCGUAAAGGGCACGCAGGCGGUUAAUUAAGUUGGAUGUGAAAUCCCCGGGCUUAACCUGGGAAUGGCAUUCAAGACUGGUUAGCUAGAGUCUUGUAGAGGGGGUAGAAUUCCACGUGUAGCGGUGAAAUGCGUAGAGAUGUGGAGGAAUACCGGUGGCGAAGGCGGCCCCUGGACAAAGACUGACGCUCAUGUGCGAAAGCGUGGGGAGCAAACAGGGAUUAGAUACC
rnacentral:rRNA from 1 species